rnacentral:lncRNA from 1 species
ACAACCACAAAUUGCUUUAGAAUCCCCUUUACACUGUGGGUUUGCUGGUGUGCUGGCAUUUAUUUCAGCUUCACAGUGUGGUUAAAAAUAACUAUCAGUUGGCAAAAUUCUCACCAGCCCUUGCUGUUCUCCAUGUCACAGUGGUAAUGGAUCUGAUGGCUGAGGCGGGACGGUGUUAUAUCCAAACCAGAUUCUAUGCAGUGAGUCACUUGGUGGCUGUGCUGUUAAAAGACAGGUG